rnacentral:rRNA from 1 species
AUUGAACGCUGGCGGCAUGCCUUACACAUGCAAGUCGAACGGCAGCAUAGGAGCUUGCUCCUGAUGGCGAGUGGCGAACGGGUGAGUAAUAUAUCGGAACGUGCCCUAGAGUGGGGGAUAACUAGUCGAAAGACUAGCUAAUACCGCAUACGAUCUACGGAUGAAAGUGGGGGAUCGCAAGACCUCAUGCUCCUGGAGCGGCCGAUAGCAGAUUAGCUAGUUGGUGGGGUAAAAGCCGACCAAGGCGAAGAUCAGUAGCUGGUCUGAGAGGACGACCCGCGACACUGGGACUGAGACACGGCCCAGACUCCUACGGGAGGAAGCAGUGGGGAAUUUUGGACAAUGGGGGCAACCCUGAUCCAGCAAUGCCGCGUGAGUGAAGAAGGCCUUCGGGUUGUAAAGCUCUUUUGUCAGGGAAGAAACGGUAGUAGCUAAUAUCUAUUACUAAUGACGGUACCUGAAGAAUAAGCACCGGCUAACUACGUGCCAGCCGCCGCCGUAA